GGCUACGGCUCAGUGUAAGAGCAUUUGCUUUGCACACAGAAGGUCACAGGUUCAAUCCCAGGCAUCUCCA
rnacentral:tRNA from 1 species